AGCGAACGCUGGCGGCAGGCCUAACACAUGCAAGUCGAACGGGCUCCUCCGGAUGUCUGUGGCAGGCGGGUGAGAAACGCGGGGAAACGUCCUCUUCGGUUCGACAUCUCACGGAGAAACUUGCUCAUAUACCGGGUGCGCCCUGUGGGAAAGAGUUAUUGCCAUUGGAGCGGCCCGCGUCUGAUUAGCGCGUUGGUGUGGUAACGGCCCACCAAGGCGACGAUCAGUAGCUGGUCUGAGAGGAUGAUCAGCCACACUGGGACUGAGACACGGCCCAGACUCCUACGGGAGGCAGCAGUGGGGAAUAUUGCGCAAUGGGCGCAAGCCUGACGCAGCCAUGCCGCGUGAGUGAUGAAGGUCUUAGGAUUGUAAAACUCUUUUGGCCGGGACGAUAAUGACGGUACCCGAAGAAGAAGCCCCGGCUAACUUCGUG
rnacentral:rRNA from 1 species